rnacentral:rRNA from 1 species
GGAAACUGCCUGAUGGAGGGGGAUAACUACUGGAAACGGUAGCUAAUACCGCAUAACGUCGCAAGACCAAAGAGGGGGACCUUCGGGCCUCUUGCCAUCAGAUGUGCCCAGAUGGGAUUAGCUAGUAGGUGGGGUAACGGCUCACCUAGGCGACGAUCCCUAGCUGGUCUGAGAGGAUGACCAGCCACACUGGAACUGAGACACGGUCCAGACUCCUACGGGAGGCAGCAGUGGGGAAUAUUGCACAAUGGGCGCAAGCCUGAUGCAGCCAUGCCGCGUGUAUGAAGAAGGCCUUCGGGUUGUAAAGUACUUUCAGCGGGGAGGAAGGUGUUGUGGUUAAUAACCACAGCAAUUGACGUUACCCGCAGAAGAAGCACCGGCUAACUCCGUGCCAGCAGCCGCGGUAAUACGGAGGGUGCAAGCGUUAAUCGGAAUUACUGGGCGUAAAGCGCACGCAGGCGGUCUGUCAAGUCGGAUGUGAAAUCCCCGGGCUCAACCUGGGAACUGCAUUCGAAACUGGCAGGCUAGAGUCUUGUAGAGGGGGGUAGAAUUCCAGGUGUAGCGGUGAAAUGCGUAGAGAUCUGGAGGAAUACCGGUGGCGAAGGCGGCCACCUGGACAAAGACUGACGCUCAGGUGCGAAAGCGUGGGGAGCAAACAGG